rnacentral:tRNA from 1 species
UCCCUGACAGCUCAGUUGGUAAAGAAUCUGCCUGCAAUGCAGGAGACCCUGGUUUGAUUCCUGGGUUGGGAA